AGAAGCUGCGAAGAUGGCGGAGUAAGGCGUGCCGCUGCAAACUGGCCUCUGGGCCGGGGGCGAGCAGCCCCCGGGAGGCCGAGUGCAUCUGUUGGACCGUGCGAGGAGAAGAAAAAAAAUAUCGGCCAGAGGAGAGGAACUAACCGAACAUUCUUCCUCCCUACCUUAUAGAGGGGAGUGGUCAUCUACACUAAAGCAAAGUGUUAGGCGCGUCCGUGCGAAGAGACCACCAAACAGGCUUUGUACCAUCUGGAUAUAUACGUGCAGGCUUGGGCUCAGAGGCCUGACACAAAGGUCUUAAGUAGGGGUCCAUAAACUACUGGAAAUUUUAUGCACAAUUAUACAUUUUUGUGGGAAGAAGAAGGUCCAUAGUAUCAGAUUCUCAAAGAGGACACUGUUUCAUAAAAGCUUGAGAACCACUGCUCCAAGACUUGACAUCUUUUUAAAAUUAAUGCCAGUGCAGGUUCCUUAUCACAGGAAGAAAAUUUUCCUUGACCUUUAGGUGCUUUUAUAUUCAUCUCAAAAACAAAAUUCUGAACUCAGGACUUGGCAAGUGUCUCUAUGUUGUCUCCUAGAGUGGGUAGUCCUGCUUCUUUUACCCAGUUACUUUCCCGUUUUUGAAAUGUGGCUAUCACUUCUCUACACAUUACCUCCAUGAUUUGGAAUGGAAAAGGCCACUUUUCUUUUUGUUCUGCCUCUCAAAUUCAACACAGAGGAGCUCCUAGGAUUCCAGUUAUCCUGCUAACAUCUCCAGGAAGAAAGAAGCAACUCACAUGGGUCUUUUGCUGUUUGCUUAAUUAUAAAGACAUCAUUUUGCAAGCAGAAGGCUGAGUUUCAUUUGAAACAGGUGCUUAGGUGGUGGUAUUUGUGAAUACUUUUCAUUCCAAGCAAGAAGACUAAAGAAGUAGCAAGUAUGAAUGACUUCAGGGUUUAAAAAAAAUGUCUUCCAGUUUCAGCCACUACCAUGAUAAGCACAGUUGAGACUGCAGCAGUAAAUUCCAAAUAUGUGUUUCUAAUUUGACGUGAAAGAUACUAAAAAUUUAUAUUUGUAUAUUUAAAUCCUGGCUCAUCCUGUGACAUAGAUUUACUGAAUAGGAACAAAGGCCCAAUUUUAAACAAAAACCUAGGCCGGGUGUGGUGGCUCACACCUGUAAUCCCAACACUUUGGGAGGCCAAGGCAGGCAAAUCACCUGAGGUUGGGAGUUUGAGACCAGCCUGACCAACAUGGAGAAACCCCAUCUCUACUAAAAAUAGAAAAUUAGCCAGGUGUGGUGGUAGAUACGUGUAAUCCCAGCUACUCGUGAGGCUGAGGCAGGAGAAUUGCUUGAAUCCGGGAGGCGGAGGUUGCAGUGAACUGAGAUUGCACCACUGCACUCCAGCCUGGGCGACAGAGUGAGACUCCGUCUCAGAAAAAUAAAAAACAACUUUGGACAUAGAGGAGUUGGGGGCAGAGGGGGGAGGAUGAGAGAAUUUUCCAUGUAACUCCUUUUCCUUAAGAAAAAGAAGCAAAAAUCCCUCAUGCAGUGCCAUCUGACUUUAUGGUGUUUCACAUUAUAUAGUUACUUUUUUUAAUAAACGCAUAAGAUUAACUCUUCCUGCAACCCAAGGUGGAUACUUGGAUGUUUGAUUUUUAUUUAUUUAUUUAUUUAUUUUUUGAGGCAGUCUCUCUCUGUUGCCCAGGCUGGAGUGAUGCGUGAUUUCUGCUCACUGCAGUCUCUCCCACCCGGGUUCAAGCGAUUCUCCUGCCUCAGCCUCCCAAGUAGCUAGGAUUACAGGCGCGCACCACCACGCUCAGCCUGAUUUCUAGGCUGAAAAGGCUGGGACUCAGGUACUUUCCCCAGUUGGGACUGAACUUUCUCAUCAGAGAAUGGGCCUCAGAAGCAAUGUUCCCAAACUUGUGGUUGGGUCAUCGUGGAAAAGAAACCUCAAAUAAGAAAAAUAAUUACAAUAAGAAAUGGAUUUUCUUUUUUCCCACAACAGUUAUACAUUAUAAAGAACAGACUGUCGUAGAAAACUGUCUUUGCUUCCAAAUCAGCAGAGGACCAUUGUAUGUAUUGUCAGGUCUUUAUAUAAGAGUGAAACCUUUAUUUAUGCUUCUUGUGAGUAGAGAAUAAAUUUUAAAACUAAUUAGAUGAAAUUAA
ensembl:lncRNA OIP5-AS1 OIP5 antisense RNA 1